GAUGAAGAACGCAGCGAAAUGCGAUAAGUAAUGUGAAUUGCAGAAUUCAGUGAAUCAUCGAAUCUUUGAACGCACAUUGCGCCCCCUGGUAUUCCGGGGGGCAUGCCUGUCCGAGCGUCAUUACAACCCUCAAGCUCAGCUUGGUAUUGGGCCCCGCCGCUCCGGCGGGCCCUAAAGUCAGUGGCGGUGCCGUCCGGCUCCGAGCGUAGUAAUUCUUCUCGCUCUGGAGGUCCGGUCGUGUGCUCGCCAGCAACCCCCAAUUUUUUUCAGGUUGACCUCGGAUCAGGUAGGGAUACCCGCUGAACUUAAGCAUAUCAAUAAGCGAGGA
rnacentral:misc_RNA from 1 species